rnacentral:rRNA from 1 species
UACAGAGGUCCCAAGCGUUGCUCGGAUUCAUUGGGCGUAAAGGGUGCGUAGGUGGCGUCGUAAGUCGGGUGUGAAAUCUCGGGGCUUAACUCCGAAACUGCAUUCGAUACUGCGGUGCUUGAGGACUGGAGAGGAGACUGGAAUUUACGGUGUAGCAGUGAAAUGCGUAGAGAUCGUAAGGAAGACCAGUGGCGAAGGCGGGUCUCUGGACAGUUCCUGACACUGAGGCACGAAGGCCAGGGGAGCAAACGGG